CAGCAGCCACGGUAAUACGAAGGGUGCAAGCGUUAAUCGGAAUUACUGGGCGUAAAGCGUGCGUAGGCGGUUUGUUAAAUCUGCUGUGAAAUCCCCGGGCUCAACCUGGGAAUGGCAGUGGAUACUGGCUCGCUAGAGUGUGUCAGAGGAUGGUGGAAUUCCCGGUGUAGCGGUGAAAUGCGUAGAGAUCGGGAGGAACAUCAGUGGCGAAGGCGGCCAUCCGGGACAACACUGACGCUGAGGCACGAAAGCGUGGGGAGCAAACAGGAUUAGAUACCCGCGUAGUCCCUGUCUCUUAUAC
rnacentral:rRNA from 1 species